UAAAAACAGGUGUUUUGCUGCUGACUCAG
rnacentral:piRNA from 1 species